rnacentral:lncRNA from 1 species
UGCAGCCUGUUCUUGCUUUGCAUAAGAGUUAUUGGUGUUUGCAAUAUAAAGAGUGUAACUUUGCUAAGUUCAUUAUGCCUACAAUGGUUUUUUUAUCAUUGUGAAACUGAUCAUGCUUUGGUAUGAAUGCUUUACUGGAAUGGAUAUUUGAGAUAGAAUCAAUACCUUGAAUGUUUGUGUUGGUUGUUGAAUGAACUGCUCGUUGGUGUUGAAUGAAGCAAGAAUUAACUGAUACUUGAAAAUUUCUUUGGCAGAGAAUGAUGAAAACGUUUAAGUGUGGAAUGGGUAUGAGAUGAGGAUUAAUAGCUGCUGAAAUCUGAAACCAAAUGAAGGUGUUCGGGUGUGAAAAUUUUGCAAAUAUGCUGCUGGAGCUGGAGUCAAAGAAGAAUAUUACACAGGCGUGGAGCUGGAGUCAAAAAAAUGUCCAGAAUAGAUGGCUGAGCAUGCGCUUAAGGGAUAGCUGCAGAUUUCUUUCACACACAUACACUAUUUCUUUUUUUUUUUAAGUGUUGGUAGAUAGAUAGAAAAAUAGGGGUUUGUAAAGUGAAGUAUAAACAGAAGCAAUAAUUCUUGUCUUGGAAUUUCUAUAUCUGUAAUAUUGUAUUGCAUUUUUUUUAAAUAAAAUCCAACUACCGGGUUUUGU